rnacentral:rRNA from 1 species
GUGGGGAAUAUUGGACAAUGGGCGAAAGCCUGAUCCAGCCAUGCCGCGUGUGUGAAGAAGGUCUUCGGAUUGUAAAGCACUUUAAGUUGGGAGGAAGGGCAGUAAGUUAAUACCUUGCUGUUUUGACGUUACCGACAGAAUAAGCACCGGCUAACUUCGUGCCAGCAGCCGCGGUAAUACGAAGGGUGCAAGCGUUAAUCGGAAUUACUGGGCGUAAAGCGCGCGUAGGUGGUUUUGUACGUUGGAGGUGAAAUCCCCGGGCUCAACCUGGGAACUGCCUCCAAAACUGCAUGACUAGAGUACGGUAGAGGGUAGUGGAAUUUCCUGUGUAGCGGUGAAAUGCGUAGAUAUAGGAAGGAACACCAGUGGCGAAGGCGACUACCUGGACUGAUACUGACACUGAGGUGCGAAAGCGUGGGGAGCAAACAGGAUUAGAAACCCGGGUAGUCC